AGUGAACGCUGGCGGUAGGCCUAACACAUGCAAGUCGAACGGCAGCACCGUAUGAGCUUGCUCUUACGGGUGGCGAGUGGCGGAUGGGUGAGGAAUACAUCGGACUCUACUUUUUCGUGGGGGAUAACGUAGGGAAACUUACGCUAAUACCGCAUACGACCUACGGGUGAAAGCAGGGGAUCUUCGGACCUUGCGCGAUUGAAUGAGCCGAUGUCGGAUUAGCUAGUUGGCGGGGUAAAGGCCCACCAAGGCGACGAUCCGUAGCUGGUCUGAGAGGAUGAUCAGCCACACUGGAACUGAGAGACGGUCCAGACUCCUACGGGAGGCAGCAGUGGGGAAUAUUGGACGAUGGGCGCAAGCCUGAUCCAGCCAUGCCGCGUGGGUGAAGAAGGGCUUCGGGUUGUAAAACCCUUUUGUUGGGAAAGAACAGCAGCAGGUUAAUACCAGGCUGUUCUGACGGUACCCAAAGAAGAAGCACCGGCUAACUUCGUG
rnacentral:rRNA from 1 species